CCUUCUGCGGCUUCUGCUCCUCCGCCUGUUAACGCAACAGUAGCUAUUCACCAUCAGUACUGAGAAGGCUACGAGCUCCGCUCUCUGUCAGAUGGAUGUCAGGCAAACCUCCAGACCGAUCUUUAAACCAAAUAUGUUGUUCCCACAUCAAGUCGUUACGAUAUGCAUUUGGUCUGGUCCUGUGGACGCGUCAAACAAAGGGUUGCGAGGACCUCUGCACAUCUCUACUCUGUGAAAGACCAAUCACUCUUUUGAUCUCUAAUGUAUUAGUCUACCCAAGUAGGCCUGAAAAAGUACAAGACACGGCCUGAAGAAAUUGAACUUCUAUGGAGUUUCCAACCCAAUAAACAGUAGUUUUACACA